rnacentral:rRNA from 1 species
UACGGAGGGUGCAAGCAUUGAUCGGAAUUACUGGGCGUAAAGGGCGCGUAGGCGGUUUUGAAAGUCAGAUGUGAAAUUCCGGGGCUCAACCCCGGAGCUGCAUUUGAAACUUCAGAACUAGAGGUUAGUUAGGGAAAACGGAAUUCCACGUGUAGCGGUGAAAUGCGUAGAUAUGUGGAAGAACACCAGUGGUGAAGACGGUUUUCUGGGCUAAUACUGACGCUGAGGCGCGAAAGCAAGGGGAGCAAACAGG